UCUCAAUGGAGCCGACCUUGAAAUACCACCCUGAUCUGUUUGAGGUUCUAACCUUGGCCCGUUAUCCGGGCUGGGGACAGUGCAUGGUAGGCAGUUUGACUGGGGCGGUCUCCUCCCAAAGUGUAACGGAGGAGUACGAAGGUACGCUAGGUACGGUCGGAAAUCGUGCUGAUAGUGCAAUGGCAUAAGCGUGCUUGACUGUGAGACUGACAAGUCGAACAGGUGCGAAAGCAGGUCAUAGUGAUCCGGUGGUUCUGUAUGGAAGGGCCAUCGCUCAACGGAUAAAAGGUACUCUGGGGAUAACAGGCUGAUACCGCCCAAGAGUUCAUAUCGACGGCGGUGUUUGGCACCUCGAUGUCGGCUCAUCUCAUCCUGGGGCUGUAGCCGGUCCCAAGGGUAUGGCUGUUCGCCAUUUAAAGAGGUACGUGAGCUGGGUUUAAAACGUCGUGAGACAGUUUGGUCCCUAUCUGCCGUGGGCGCUGGAUAUUUGAAGGGGGCUGCUCCUAGUACGAGAGGACCGGAGUGGACGAACCUCUGGUGUACCGGUUGUCACGCCAGUGGCAUCGCCGGGUAGCUAUGUUCGGAAGAGAUAACCGCUGAAAGCAUCUAAGCGGGAAACUCGCCUUAAGAUGAGAUAUCCCCGGGGCUUCGAGCCCCUUGAAGGGUCGUUCAAGACCAGGACGUUGAUAGGUCAGGUGUGCACGUACAGUAAUGUACUGAGCUAACUGAUACUAAUUGCCCGUAAGGCUUGAUCCUAUAACAG
rnacentral:rRNA from 1 species